CAGUCCCGCGGUAAUACAGAGGGUGCGAGCGUUAAUCGGAUUUACUGGGCGUAAAGCGUGCGUAGGCGGCUUCUUAAGUCGGAUGUGAAAUCCCUGAGCUUAACUUAGGAAUUGCAUUCGAUACUGGGAAGCUAGAGUAUGGGAGAGGAUGGUAGAAUUCCAGGUGUAGCGGUGAAAUGCGUAGAGAUCUGGAGGAAUACCGAUGGCGAAGGCAGCCAUCUGGCCUAAUACUGACGCUGAGGUACGAAAGCAUGGGGAGCAAACAGGAUUAGAUACCCCCGUAGUCCCUGUCUCUUAUACA
rnacentral:rRNA from 1 species